GCGGUAAUACGGAGGGUGCAAGCGUUGUCCGGAAUCAUUGGGUGUAAAGGGUACGUAGGCGGGAGCCUAAGUCUGGGGUGAAAUCUUGCCGCUUAACGGUAAAAUGGCCCUGGAUACUGGGUUUCUUGAGUGCAGAAGAGGCAGGUGGAAUUCGUGGUGUAGCGGUGAAAUGCUUAGAUAUCACGAAGAACAUCAGUGGCGAAGGCGGCCUGCUGGUCUGCAACUGACGCUGAGGUACGAAAGCGUGGGGAGCGAACAGGAUUAGAU
rnacentral:rRNA from 1 species